rnacentral:rRNA from 1 species
UACGUAGGGUCCGAGCGUUGUCCGGAGUUACUGGGCGUAAAGGGCGCGCAGGCGGCGGUGCUGGCCCGGCGUGAAAGCCCCCGGCUCAACCGGGGAAGGUCGUCGGGGACCGCACCGCUUGAGGGCGGCAGGGGCUGGUGGAAUGCCUGGUGUAGUGGUGAAAUGCGUAGAGAUCAGGCGGAACACCCGUGGCGAAGGCGGCCAGCUGGGCCGGCCCUGACGCUGAGGCGCGAAGGCGUGGGGAGCGAACGGGAUUAGAUACCCCCGUAGUCC